AGUUCUUUUCAGCUUUUGAUUCUCUAGAAUCAGAUUGUGAGAAACUUCCCACAAAAUCAGCUUCCCACAUAAUCAACCAUCCAGUUCUUUUCUAAGAUUGUAGUAUGAGAUUGUGGGAUAAGUUAUGUGCUCAAAUGUCUGUAAUGCCCUUGACUGAAAUUAAACUAAACAUGCCUGUAAUACACGUCUAGUUGUAUUUCAUUCAUUUGCUAUCGCUACAGAGCUCACUGCCUUCUUCUUCCUCUGACUUCUCUCUCCUGCCUCCAAACACGACAUUCAGCCCUUCAAAUUCAUACCAAGCAACAACGGAUCUCGAAGUUGUUCAAUAAAAAUGGAUUCCACAUGCUAGCCUCUGGCCACCUAUCCUGUUUUCCCCAUCAAUUAUAAGCCCUGAAAUCAAUUUGCGUUCAUAUGCAGCCAUCUACUCCUAUUUAGCAGAGAAGAGGAGGAGGUCAGAGGAGACAGGAAGAUGAGGAGGAAGACCGUCUCACCAGAGAACUGGGAGGGACGACGCGGGCCUCCACGAGUUCGGGCGAGGGCGGGGUGAGCUCCGGCGAGGCGGGGUCGGAGGUGCGGCGUGAGAUCCGGCUGGCCCGAUUCAUUUUGUGGGUGCGCUGCAGUUUGGCCCGAGUGGGAGUUUGGAUGUAAUUUGAUGCUGUAACAGGGGUAGCGACUUAAAGUGAACCCUUUUCUUUUGCGGGA
rnacentral:lncRNA from 1 species